UACGGAGGGUGCAAGCGUUGUCCGGAAUCACUGGGCGUAAAGGGCGCGUAGGCGGCUCAUGAAGGCUGUGGUGAAAGUCCGGGGCUCAACCUCGGAUCGGCCGUGGCGACUCGUGGGCUGGAGCACUGUAGAGGCGGGUGGAAUUCCGGGUGUAGCGGUGGAAUGCGUAGAGAUCCGGAGGAACACCUGUGGCGAAAGCGGCUCACUGGACCGCAACUGACGCUGAGGCGCGAAAGCAUGGGGAGCGAACGAGG
rnacentral:rRNA from 1 species